GAUCAUGGCUCAGGAUGAACGCUAGCUACAGGCUAACACAUGCAAGUCGAGGGGCAGCAUUGAGAUAGCUUGCUAUUCAGAUGGCGACCGGCGCACGGGUGAGUAACGCGUAUCCAACCUUCCCUAUAGUAGAGAAUAGCCCGGCGAAAGUCGGAUUAAUGCUCUAUGUUGUUCAAUGCGGACAUCUAAGUUGAACCAAAGGUUUACCGCUAUAGGAUGGGGAUGCGUCUGAUUAGGUUGUUGGCGGGGUAACGGCCCACCAAGCCAUCGAUCAGUAGGGGUUCUGAGAGGAAGGUCCCCCACAUUGGAACUGAGACACGGUCCAAACUCCUACGGGAGGCAGCAGUGAGGAAUAUUGGUCAAUGGGCGAGAGCCUGAACCAGCCAAAAGUAGCGUGCAGGAUGACGGCCCUAUGGGUUGUAAACUGCUUUUAUACGGGGAUAAAGUGAGGGACGUGUCCCUUUUUGUAGGUACCGUAUGAAUAAGGACCGGCUAAUUCCGUGCCAGCCGCGGC
rnacentral:rRNA from 1 species